rnacentral:rRNA from 1 species
GAUGAACGCUAGCGACAGGCUUAACACAUGCAAGUCGAGGGGCAUCAUGAGGUAGCAAUACCUUGAUGGCGACCGGCGCACGGGUGAGUAACGCGUAUGCAACCUGCCCGAUACCGGGGUAUAGCCCAUGGAAACGUGGAUUAACACCCCAUAGUACUUUUAUCCUGCCUGGGAUGGGAGUUAAAUGUUCAAGGUAUCGGAUGGGCAUGCGUCAUAUUAGUUAGUUGGCGGGGUAACAGCCCACCAAGACGAUGAUAGGUAGGGGUUCUGAGAGGAAGGUCCCCCACAUUGGAACUGAGACACGGUCCAAACUCCUAUGGGAGGCAGCAGUGAGGAAUAUUGGUCAAUGGACGUAAGCCUGAACCAGCCAAGUCGCGUGAGGGAAGACUGCCCUAUGGGUUGUAAACCUCUUUUAUAAGGGAAGAAUAAGUUCUACGUGUAGAAUGAUGCCUGUACCUUAUGAAUAAGCAUCGGCUAACUCCGUGCCAGCCGCCGCCGUAA